GACAGAGGGUGCAAACGUUGUUCGGAAUUACUGGGCGUAAAGCGCGUGUAGGCGGCCCUGCAAGUCGGAUGUGAAAUCCCACGGCUCAACCGUGGAAGUGCAUUCGAAACUGCAGGGCUAGAGUCCUGGAGAGGAAGGUGGAAUGCUUGGUGCAGAGGUGAAAUUCGUAGAUAUCAAGCGGAACACCGGUGGCGAAGGCGGCCUUCUGGACAGUGACUGACGCUGAGACGCGAAAGCGUGGGGAGCAAACAGG
rnacentral:rRNA from 1 species